AAGAUAUAGCUUAAACAAAGCAUUUUGCUUACACCAAAAAAAUAUUUAAUAAUAUAAAUUGUCUUG
rnacentral:tRNA from 1 species